rnacentral:rRNA from 1 species
AACGUAGGUUCCGAGCGUUAUCCGGAUUUACUGGGCGUAAAGCGCGUUCAGGCGGGCUGCCGCGUCCGGGGUGAAAUCCCACGGCUCAACCGUGGAACGGCCCCGGGUACGGGCGGCCUCGAGGGGGGUAGGGGCGGGCGGAACUGUGGGUGGAGCGGUGAAAUGCGUUGAGAUCCACAGGAACUCCGGUGGCGAAGGCGGCCCGCUGGACCCCAUCUGACGCUGAGGCGCGAAAGCCAGGGGAGCGAACGGG